GAUGAACGCUAGCUACAGGCUUAACACAUGCAAGUCGAGGGGCAGCAUGAACAAAGCUUGCUUUGUUUGAUGGCGACCGGCGCACGGGUGCGUAACACGUAUCCAAUCUGCCCGCGGCUCGGGGAUAGCCCAUCGAAAGAUGGAUUAAUACCCGAUGGCGUGGUUUCUCCGCAUGGAGUUUCCACUAAAGGUUUUCCGGCCGCGGAUGAGGAUGCGUAUGAUUAGGUAGUAGGCGGGGUAACGGCCCACCUAGCCUUCGAUCAUUAGGGGUUCUGAGAGGAAGGUCCCCCACACUGGAACUGAGACACGGUCCAGACUCCUACGGGAGGCAGCAGUGAGGAAUAUUGGUCAAUGGGCGAGAGCCUGAACCAGCCAAGUAGCGUGAAGGAUGACUGCCCUAUGGGUUGUAAACUUCUUUUGUUCGGGAAUAAAGUGCAGUAUGUAUACUGUUUUGUAUGUACCGUUCGAAUAAGCAUCGGCUAAUUCCGUGCCAGCCGCCGCAGUAAGAC
rnacentral:rRNA from 1 species